CAAGAACAUUUGCAAUCUGCCUCUUCAUGACGGCAAUAUCUUUAGAAGAAAGGUCGGGCGGGCCCUCAUCCACAUCAUUAGUUGGUACAAAUUUUAAUGCAGAAUAUUUUGGAUCAACUUCAAUAUUAUCAAGCCAUGCAUCCUGCAAGGAUCAACAUAAAUCCCUCACCUUAAUCUCAUUCUCUCUUACAUAUUUAACAAAAUUUCCUGCUAUAUCAAAAUAACCUUCUUCCUUUCUUUAUCUAGGUUGAAAGGCUAGAUUUGAAUCCCGUGAUCAAAAAAAUUCUCACUAUCCUGCCACAAGAUAUCACACAUCACUGCCUGCCUAUCUUUUUCGUGUCCUGUAACAGCUCAUUGCACCAAUAAACCUUACUAUAAAAAAUGAUGUCAAAUUAGGAAUAAAUCUCACUACAAUAAUACAUUUGAACAAAAUCCCACAUGAAAUAAGCUUUACAAGCAAAAUAUUUAUUGUACCAGUUUCCAUGAAAAAGCACUUGAUAGAAAGAUUAAAAAAAUUAAUUUAGAUAAAAAAAGUUUGUCCACCUUGAAAACUUCAAACAAACCUCGUAUGUCACUUCACCAACUGAUAACAAAAAAAAAAUCAUCAACCAAAAGUUUAACAAAGCAACCUAAUAACAAAACAAAUCCUAAAUGCCCAAAGCAUUUAACAAAAAAUUUGAACUUUCCACCAAUAAAGCACAUUCAGGACGAAAUGUUCAACAAAUACUUCAAAAAACAUUCAACUUUACCAUGACAAAACCUAAAUGGCCAAAAAAUUAAAAAAAAAAUUAAACUCGCCAAACAAAAGCCAACCAUUAGCGAAAUAAACGGAAAAAAACCUUCAAAAACCGACCUUCAAUGGCGUCUUCUGGCUUCGUAAGCACCUAACGGCGGAACAGUUGCGGUGAAAAGCGUGCCCCUG
rnacentral:lncRNA from 1 species